AUGGCUCCUAUCGGAAGUAACACUCGGGCCUUGUGUUUGGUGGUUCUCCUGCUCAUGUCUACCACCUUCUUGUCCUGUCAUGCAUCAGGUACAGCAGGUGGGUGGACGAAGUUCUGCGUAGCCGAGAAAGCCUGCGCGCCAACGGCAGGACCCAAGGACGAUCAUGUGUGCAAGGCUGAUUGCGGACGCCAAGGUUACGACAAGGAUAAAAGCUAUUGCGCACCAGACCCUAGUGGCAUUUGCUGCUGCCAAAAGUAA
rnacentral:rRNA from 1 species